rnacentral:rRNA from 1 species
GACGAACGCUGGCGGCACGCCUAACACAUGCAAGUCGAACGCCCCCUUUCGGGGGGAGUGGCGGACGGGUGAGUAACGCGUGGGAACCUGCCCCGUCGGUGGGGGACGAACCCAGGGAAACCGUGGGCUGAUACCGCAUAAGCCCAGUGGCCGUAGUGGCCAUUGGGGAAAGAUUUAUCGCCACGGGAUGGGCCCGCGUCGGAUUAGGUAGUUGGUGGGGUAACGGCCCACCAAGCCUGCGAUCCGUAGCUGGUCUGAGAGGACGAUCAGCCACACUGGGACUGAGACACGGCCCAGACUCCUACGGGAGGCAGCAGUGGGGAAUCUUGGACAAUGGGGGAAACCCUGAUCCAGCGAUGCCGCGUGAGCGAAGAAGGCCUUAGGGUUGUAAA